rnacentral:rRNA from 1 species
AGUUUCAAUCAUGAUCAGAUUGAACGCUGGCAGGCAGGCACACAUGCAUGCAAGAGCGAGCAGUAACAGGAGGUAGCUUGCUACGCGUCUGAGCGAGCGGCGGACUGAGUGAGUAAUUCAUAGGAAUCUUCCCGAUAGUGGGGGAUAACGUGAAACUACACAGAAUAAUGCCGCGUACGUCCUACGAAAGGAAGGCGUGCUUCGGCUCUCGCUAUUAGAUGAGCCUAAGUCGGAUUAGCUAGUUGGUGAGGUAAAGGCUCACCAAGGCGACGAUCCGUAGCUGGUCUGAGAGGAUGAUCAGCCACAUCGGGACUGAGACACGGCCCGAACUCCUACGGGAGGCAGCAGUGGGGAAUAUUGGACAAUGGGGGAAACCCUGAUCCAGCCAUGCCGCGUGUGUGAAGAAGGCCCUUUGGUUGUAAAGCACUUUCAGCGAGGAAGAACACCUAGUGGUUAAUACCCAUUAGGAAAGACAUCACUUGCAGAAGAAGCACCGGCUAACUCUGUGCCAGCAGCCGCGGUAAUACGGAGGGUGCAAGCGUUAAUCGGAAUUACUGGGCGUAAAGCGCGCGUAGGUGGCUUGAUAAGUCAGAUGUGAAAUCCCCGGGCUCAACCUGGGAACGGCAUCCGGAACUGUCAAGCUAGAGUACAGGAGAGGAAGGUAGAAUUCCCGGUGUAGCGGUGAAAUGCGUAGAGAUCGGGAGGAAUACCAGUGGCGAAGGCAGCUUUCUGGAAUCACACUGACACUGAGGUUCGAAAGCGUGGGUAGCAAACAGGAUUAGAUACCCUGGUAGUCCCCGCCGUAAACGAUGUCUACUAGGUCGUUGGGUGCCUUGCAGCGACUUUGUGACGCAAGUUAACGCAGAUACAGUCGACCGCCUGGGGAGUACGGCCGCAAGGUUAAAACUCAAAUGAAUUGACGGGGGCCCGCACAAGCGGUGGAGCAUGUGGUUUAAUUCGAUGCAACGCGAAGAACCUUACCUGCUCUUGACAUCCUGCGAACUUGGGAGAGAUCACUUGGUGCCUUCGGGAACGCAGAGACAGGUGCUGCAUGGCUGUCGUCAGCUCGUGUUGUGAAAUGUUGGGUUAAGUCCCGUAACGAGCGCAACCCUUGUCCUUAUUUGCCAGCGGGUUAUGGCGGGAACUCUAAGGAGACUGCCGGUGACAAACCGGAGGAAGGUGGGGACGACGUCAAGUCAUCAUGGCCCUUACGACUAGGGCUACACACGUGCUACAAUGGCCGGUACAAAGGGUUGCGAGCUCGCGAGUGUCUGCUAAUCCCGAAAAGCCUGUCUCAGUCCGGAUGGGAUUCUGCAACUCAACUCCUGGAAGUCGAAAUCGCUAGUAAUCGUGAAUCAGAAAUGUCACGGUGAAAUACGUUUCCCGGGCCUUGUACACACCGCCCCGUCACACCAUGGGAAUUGGACUGCACCCAGAAAUGGGUUGCCUUAACUCUUCGAGAAAGCAAUCACCACGUGUGUGGU